rnacentral:rRNA from 1 species
AUUGAACGCUGGCGGCAGGCCUAACACAUGCAAGUCGAACGAGUGGCGGACGGGUGGGUAAUGUCUGGGAAACUGCCUGAUGGAGGGGGAUAACUACUGGAAACGGUAGCUAAUACCGCAUAACAUCAGAUGUGCCCAGAUGGGAUUAGCUAGUGGGUGGGGGAACGGCUCACCAAGGCGACGAUCCCUCGAUGGUCUGAGAGGAUGACCAGCCACACUGGAACUGAGACACGGUCCAGACUCCUACGUGAGGCAGCAGUGGGGAAUAUUGCACAAUGGGCGCAAGCCUGAGGCAGCCAUGCCGCGUGUAUGAAGAAGGCCUUCGGGUUGUAAAGCACUUUCAGCGGGGAGGCGUUACCCGCAGAAGAAGCACCGGCUAACUCCGUGCCAGCAGCCGCGGUAAUAC